AUUAUGUGCUAGGGGUGCCUAAAUUUAGGCUGAGAAAUGAAUUUAUUCAUUAACCCUCAAAGACCUGAUCUGGAUAGUGCCAGCGUAGGAAAGCGUUUUUAUAAACAA
rfam:Clostridium ventriculi strain 2789STDY5834858 genome assembly, contig: SCcontig000004